rnacentral:rRNA from 1 species
GACGAACGCUGGCGGCGUGCUUAACACAUGCAAGUCGAGCGGAAAGGCCCUUCGGGGUACUCGAGCGGCGAACGGGUGAGUAACACGUGAGUAACCUGCCCUGGACUUUGGGAUAACCCUCGGAAACGGGGGCGUAAUACCGAAUACGCCUACUGGUUGCAUGACUGGUGGUGGAAAGUUUUUCGGUCUGGGAUGGCUCGCGGCCUAUCAGCUUGUUGGUGGGGUGAUGGCCUACCAAGGCGACGACGGGUAGCCGGCCUGAGAGGGCGACCGGCCACACUGGGACUGAGACACGGCCCAGACUCCUACGGGAGGCAGCAGGUGGGGAAUAUUGGGUCAAUGGACGCAAGUCUGAACCAGCCAUGCCGCGUGAAGGAUGAAGGUCCUCUGGAUUGU